AUGGCCGCGUCGGGAGGCUGGUCCGGCGGGUGCACAUGGCCGGACCUCCAGCCGGAGAUAUUGGGCGUCGUGCUCUCGCGGCUGCCGUCGCACGCCGACCGCGUCCGCCUCGCCGCCGUCUGCCGCCCAUGGCGCUCCAGCGCGCGGCUGCUGCGUCCGCUACCCCCGCUACUCCCGUGGCUCGCCCUCUGCGAUGGCACCUUCCUCAGCCUCCCCGACGGCGCCGUGCACCGCCUGCCCGUGGCGGGCCACGGCGUCUCCGUACGAGUCUCCACCGGCAGCACGCUCUUCCUCGUGCACGUCGACGACCACAAUUGCUCCCUGAUGAACCCUUCCCCGGUAACGACGACCCCUCUCCCUGAGGCCGCCGGCUGGUUCCGAGAAAACCCGGCCGUCCGGAAGGUGUUAAUGUCCGAUCACCUCGUCGCCGCCCUGGUGAAGUCCAAAGACAUCUACGGUUCCAAGACCACCAAGGUCAUCAUCUCCACCCGUGGGCAGCCAUGGGACAUCACGAGGUGCUCCACGACGGAGUGGGCGGCGCCUGAAGACAGCUGCGUCAUAGAUAUUGCGCUCUUCAAAGCAAAGCUCUACGUCCUCCUCGACACAGUCCUCUUCGACACAGAAGACGAGGAAUAUGGACAGGUGCAUGAGCUUCGUGUCCUGGACGAUGGCCACGAGCAGGCAACCAUCCAGGGCACCCCAGUCGCCGGGUUUGAGGACGAUUUUGAUCCUUACGAGACCGACGCGUACGGGCAGCGGCACUACCUCGUCGUCUCCGGCGAUCGGCUGCUGAUGGUGCAACGAUGGAUCAACCUGCCGCCAAUAUUUCCGAUCGACUCAGGGAUCGAGAAGCGGACCCGACUCUUCAAGGUCUUCGAAGCAACGGGCCUGAGCAGCGGCUGUGGACAAUGGACCGAGGUCGAUAGGUUGACGGGGCGCGCGCUCUUUGUCAGCGAAGGCUGCUCAGAGUCUCUCCCAGCCGGGGGUCAAUCUAGCGGCGUCGGAGUUCGAGAAGACUGCAUCUACUUCCUGAACGACGAAACUUGUGAGAAUCCCUUUCCAGACUCCGGCGCGUACAACAUGAGAGACCAGACAGUGGCGCCGUUGCUUCCGGCGACGGUGGCGGUGCCCGCAGCCGGCUACGGUCCAUGGUCUCCAACUUGGCUUUUCCCGGAGACUUGA
rnacentral:rRNA from 1 species